UUGUUGCGCUCUUCGAUUGCGUUGCUUUUUUUGCGGUUUGCGGACUUUUGCAGAGAAGAUUAAAGAUUUUUCAGGUAAGUCUUAGUCCAUAUUGACCCUAGACGAAAGAAUUUAUUUAAUAUUACUUGGAAAAUCGGUCCCAGAAGACAUCGUUCCAUGGUCGGAUUCGAAUCUUUUAGAUUUAAAAAGGCAGCUACGGUGAGCAUUUUGCUUUUGCUCUUUAAUUUAAGCUUUUGUUUUAAUCGACUAAUUGCAAAUUUUCUUUUUUUCAGAAUGAAGAUGUUUGCGUGGUUUCGCCGGAGGUUCCGAUGGAAGAAUGCGGUGGCGCAGGAGGGAGGGGGUUCCGAUGAGACGUUCGAGGACCGUGGGCUCGACUGGGUCUGUGUCGAAUCGAUUAGUUCGGUGUCGUUUGAGACCGUCGAGCGAGAGGCAGCGAGUAGUGACGACCUUCCCCCAGUGCGUGUGGCGUGGAACUCUCCCGGAGGCGGGAGAGUUCUGAGUCUGUUUCAUUUGGCCAAGUCAUCAGGGAUCAGCCGGUCCUAGGCCUUGUUAAUUAUGGAAGGCAUAGGGAGUGACGAGUCCUCUUGGAGUUCAUCUAUUUUCGCGAGGUCUGACUCUCCGUCCACGCUCGCGACCACGUCACCAUCGUCUUUCGGAAGUCGUAACGGGGAAGAUUCGGAGGAGAGCGCCGCCGAAGUCGAGGAACCGCGGUUUUGUUGCUGUGGGAGGCUGCGGUUCCCUUGACUUGGGCGGUGAUCCUCUUCGAUUUUCCCCAACUCGUCCGUUGCACCCGGAUUCGACACCUUUACUCGGACGUGGCCUUCUCUUACCCGGAUGUUCUCACCUCAUGGGCUUGUCUGCCAAACGUGACACUCAAUCGACGACAAUAGAUUUGACUUCCGAUUGUGAUCAUCCGGCGCGACAUUUGGCCGACCUUUCUUCCCAAAUAGCUGUUAUGAGGAUUGAUCUUCCGGUUACGGUAGGUUAGGUUAGGAUAGUAAAGGCUAGGUCAGGUCUUUCGCUCUUCUCAUAACACUGUUCGGGAAGAAAGACUGUCUGAUAAAGGAACAUUUGGGAGGGCGAUUCUUCUCCCUCCCCAACUUUACCACCAAGAGGACGAAGCGGCCAUUUAUCGUACAAGUGAAUAUUUUCCGAAAUCUCCAAUGACAAGCCGAAGAUGUUCUUCGAUCACACACAUACACACGCACGGACACAAUAUCACUGUACACGAAGAUAUAUACACCGUUUAACCUUUACUCGAAUUCUCGCACUCACGCACUUACAUGUCAAGCGCCUCGUUCUGUGUAAUUCGACACAAUGAAACAACCCGAACACUCGCUUCCCACAAAUCCAACCCCUGGGUCCUCGUCCCGGGAAGUGGAAACGCCAAUUUUAAAGAUUAAAACGCUUCAAAUUGGCGGCCGAAGGGGCUCUGGUAAUCACACCUUGCAUGGAUUAAAUUGAAUUUCACACAUUAACAUCAAUAAUAGUUUUGUGAUGAAUUUUUCUGUUAAAUCUCUGGAAAUUUACUAUGGUAAGAAAUUAUCUGCGCUCGUAUUUCAGUAUUGCUAACUCUUACCUAAGAUCAUUAAUUAAAGAUUUUGGUGCUCAUCGUAUAUUUCAUCACAUUUGCAAUAUGGCAGCUGGUGAUUUUUUGUUUUGUUUUGUUUAUGGGGGGUACUAAGAGA